rnacentral:rRNA from 1 species
AGGGAAUCUUCGGCAAUGGACGAAAGUCUGACUGAGCAACGCCGCGUGAGUGAAGAAGGUUUUCGGAUCGUAAAACUCUGUUGUUAGAGAAGAACAAGGAUGAGAAGAGAAUGUUCAUCCCUUGACGGUAUCUAACCAGAAAGCCACGGCUAACUACGUGCCAGCAGCCGCGGUAAUACGUAGGUGGCAAGCGUUGUCCGGAUUUAUUGGGCGUAAAGCGAGCGCAGGCGGUUCUUUAAGUCUGAUGUGAAAA